rnacentral:rRNA from 1 species
UGGGGAAUCUUCCGCAAUGGACGAAAGUCUGACGGAGCAACGCCGCGUGAGUGAAGAAGGUCUUCGGAUUGUAAAGCUCUGUUAUACGGGACGAAAAAGACGGAUGCCAACACUCCCUGUACGUGACGGUACCGUAAGAGAAAGCCACGGCUAACUACGUGCCAGCAGCCGCGGUAAUACGUAGGUGGCAAGCGUUGUCCGGAAUUAUUGGGCGUAAAGGGCGCGCAGGCGGUUCGGUAAGUCUGUCUUAAAAGUGCGGGGCUUAACCCCGUGAGGGGACGGAAACUGUCGAACUUGAGUGUCGGAGAGGAAAGCGGAAUUCCUAGUGUAGCGGUGAAAUGCGUAGAUAUUAGGAGGAACACCGGUGGCGAAAGCGGCUUUCUGGACGACAACUGACGCUGAGGCGCGAAAGCGUGGGGAGCAAACAGG